rnacentral:rRNA from 1 species
AUUGAACGCUGGCGGCAUGCCUUACACAUGCAAGUCGAACGGUAACAGGUUAAGCUGACGAGUGGCGAACGGGUGAGUAAUGUAUCGGAACGUGCCCAGUCGUGGGGGAUAACUGCUCGAAAGAGCAGCUAAUACCGCAUACGACCUGAGGGGGAAAGCGGGGGAUCGCAAGACCUCGCGCGAUUGGAGCGGCCGAUAUCAGAUUAGGUAGUUGGUGAGGUAAAGGCUCACCAAGCCGACGAUCUGUAGCUGGUCUGAGAGGACGACCAGCCACACUGGGACUGAGACACGGCCCAGACUCCUACGGGAGGCAGCAGUGGGGAAUUUUGGACAAUGGGCGCAAGCCUGAUCCAGCCAUGCCGCGUGCGGGAAGAAGGCCUUCGGGUUGUAAACCGCUUUUGUCAGGGAAGAAAAGGUUCUGGCUAAUACCUGGGACUCAUGACGGUACCUGAAGAAUAAGCACCGGCUAACUACGUG